GGCCCUUGGCCGAUCCUCUCUGCCUUCAGGUCGGCAUCGAAUGAACCUAUUGAGCCGACCUCGUCUGAUGAGCUCCUCGAUCUCGUCCCAGACCUGAAUGCACUCCUCUAUAUCGUGGUCGUGGUCACGAUGGUAGAGGCAGAACUUGUUAGGAUUACGCUUCGCAGGGUGUGUGCGCAUCCUUUCUAGCCUUGGCAGCUGCUCCCUGACCUCCAUCAGCACUUGGAUUUUUGAGGCAUUGAGGGAGGCAUAAUUGUGGAAUCUUCCCGAUGG
rnacentral:lncRNA from 1 species